GACGAGGGGUCCAAGCGUUGUUCGGAAUCAUUGGGCGUAAAGCGGGUGUAGGCGGCUCUAUAAGUCAGGAGUGAAAUCCCCGAGCUUAACUUGGGAAGUGCUUUUGAUACUGCAGAGCUUGAAUGUGGGAGAGGUUAGUGGAAUUCCAAGUGUAGUGGUGAAAUACGUAGAUAUUUGGAGGAACACCAGUGGCGAAGGCGGCUCACUGGCCCGGUACUGACGCUGAGGUGCGAAAGCGUGGGGAGCAAACAGG
rnacentral:rRNA from 1 species